UACGAAGGGGGCUAGCGUUGUUCGGAAUUACUGGGCGUAAAGCGCACGUAGGCGGAUUGUUAAGUCGGGGGGUGAAAUCCUGAGGCUCAACCUCAGAACUGCCUUCGAUACUGGCAAUCUCGAGUCCGGAAGAGGUUGGUGGAACAGCUAGUGUAGAGGUGAAAUUCGUAGAUAUUAGCUAGAACACCAGUGGCGAAGGCGGCCAACUGGUCCGGUACUGACGCUGAGGUGACGAAAGCGGUGGGGAGCAAACAGGAUUAAGAAACCCCGGUGAGUCCCA
rnacentral:rRNA from 1 species